GUCAAAAAGUUCAAAAUUUAAGGAGUUUUUUUAGUAAAUUGAAAUUUUAAAUUUUUUAAAUUUAACAUCACAAAAAUUUAAUUCAUCACUAUCUAGUUUAUGUUAUGGUCGAUUUUAAAACGUAAUCAGUAGAACUUUUCGUUAUAGAACUUUGCGAUAAAAUAACUUUUGCCAAGUGGGCUGUUAUUUUUAAACGCUUUGGUCUGACCUAUCCGUCCAGCAGCAGCAGCAGCACCAAAUUUUGGAGGAUACGCGUGUGCAGGUGUAAUUUAAUGUUUUUGUGUAUACGCUCUUCAUCUCUGUUUGGGCUUUUGAGAAUUUUAGCAGGUCCCUUGGAACAGGGUUCAAAGCAAAACAGUUUUGUUUUAUUUGAUAGAGAUGGAUGUGUGGAUGAAGGUGGAGGAGAAUGUUCGUCAGUUUGUUCGUUUUUGUGGUUCUUGGUUGCUAAUGCCUGUUGCUGCUACUUUCAUGCCACAAAUCGGACUGCGAUGUAGUGGAUUAAGGGUCUGGUUUAGUGCGCAGCAGGAUGCAAGGUGUUUGGCGUUUUGCAAGAAAUCCUUUCAAUUAAUUUCGUAAUCAUGACAAUGAUUUGCACGCAAUAAGGCUUUAAAGAGAUUGAACACUUAUGUUUUCGGAUAGCUGUGGUCAUUAAAAGGAAAUUGAAUUAAUUAGAGGAAGUCAUUUUGUAUUUCUUAUCUUAAAGUUAACCGUUUUAAGUAGAUAUUAUUAAAAAAGAACUGAACAAGAUUGAUUGGAAGCUAUAUCGUAUGGUACCUAUCGUUAUUUGAAGUAAAGC